UCAAGCGUGAGGUAAGAGCAUUUGGUGAAUGCCUUGGCAUAUACAGGCGAUGAAGGACGUGGCACGCUGCGAUAAGCGUGGGGGAGCCGUGAGCAGGCUUUGAUCCCACGAUUUCCGAAUGGGGGAACCCAUCCUCACUAUUUAAUUUCGCUGCUGAGCAAUCAGUGUCGGAGUUAAAUAGGAAGGAUAUCACUUAGCUGAAUAAAAUAGGCUUAGUGAAGCGAACCCGGAGAACUGAAACAUCUCAGUACCCGGAGGAAAAGACAUCAACCGAGAUUCCGUUAGUAGUGGCGAGCGAACGCGGACCAGGCCAGUGCCUGGUGUUUAAUUAGCAAAAGCUUCUGGAAAGUAGCGCCAUAGUGGGUGACAGCCCCGUAUGCGAAAAUGAAACAUCAGGACUUGAGUAGGGCGGGACACGUGUAAUCCUGUCUGAAUAUAGGGGGACCACCCUCUAAGCCUAAAUACUCGUAUAUGACCGAUAGCGAACUAGUACCGUGAGGGAAAGGUGAAAAGCACCCCGAUGAGGGGAGUGAAACAGUACCUGAAACCGAAUGCUUACAAUCAGUUGGAGCCUCUUUAUGGGGUGACAGCGUACCUCUUGUAUAAUGGGUCUGUGACUUAAUGUAUCAUGCAAGCUUAAGCCGUUAGGUGUAGGCGUAGCGAAAGCGAGUCUGAAUAGGGCGACUGAGUAUGAUGCAUUAGACCCGAAACCCGGCGAUCUAUGCAUGACCAGGUUGAAGGUGCGGUAACACGCACUGGAGGACCGAACCGUUCAAUGUUGAAAAAUUGUCGGAUGAGUUGUGCUUAGGGGUGAAAGGCCAAUCAAGCCGGGAAAUAGCUGGUUCUCCGCGAAAACUAUUGAGGUAGUGCCUCGGAUGUUUUCCGAUGGGGGUAGAGCACUGGAUGGAUGCGGGGGUCGCGAGAUCUACCAAUUCUAACCAAACUCCGAAUACCAUCGAGUUAGUCCGGGAGACAGACGGCGGGUGCUAACGUCCGUCGUCAAAAGGGAAACAGCCCUAACCUACAGCUAAGGUCCCCAAAUCAUAUCUAAGUGGUGAAGCAUGUGGGAUUUCCAAAACAACCAGGAGGUUGGCUUAGAAGCAGCCAUCCUUUAAAGAAAGCGUAACAGCUCACUGGUCUAAAUAAGAGAUCCUGCGGCGAAAAUGUAACGGGGCUAAAGAUAUGUACCGAAGCUUAGGGUGUGCAGCAAUGCACGCGGUAGCGGAGCGUUCCGUAGGCCGAUGAAGCGAUCUGGUAAUGGGUCGUGGAGGUAUCGGAAGUGCGAAUGCAGACAUGAGUAGCGAUAGGAGGGUGAGACACCCUCCCGCCGAAAGACCAAGGGUUCCUGCUUAAAGCUAAUCUGAGCAGGGUAAGCCGGCCCCUAAGACGAGCCCGAAGGGGGUAGUCGAUGGGAACCACGUUAAUAUUCGUGGGCCUGGUGGUGUGUGACGGAUCUCGUGAGUUGUAUCUCCUUAUUGGAUUGGAGGUGCUUCGAAGAGGUUCCAGGAAAUAGCCCCACCGUAUAGACCGUACCCGAAACCGACACAGGUGGUCAGGUAGAGUAUACCAAGGCGUUUGAGAGAAGUAUCCUGAAGGAACUCGGCAAAUUGCCUCCGUACCUUCGGAAGAAGGAGGCCCUCACAUUGCGCAAGCAGUAUGAGGGGGCACAGGCCAGGGGGUAGCGACUGUUUAGCAAAAACACAGGACUCUGCUAAGUCGGCUUCAAGACGACGUAUAGGGUCUGACGCCUGCCCGGUGCUGGAAGGUUAAGAGGAGGAGUGCAAGCUCCGAAUUGAAGCCCCAGUAAACGGCGGCCGUAACUAUAACGGUCCUAAGGUAGCGAAAUUCCUUGUCGGGUAAGUUCCG
rnacentral:rRNA from 1 species